GGGACCGUAGGGUAGCCUGGACCAUCCUUCGGCGUUCGGGACGUACUUUUAAGUGCGCGGAUCACGCCGGAACCUGAGUUCAAAUCUCAGCGGUCCCA
rnacentral:tRNA from 1 species